rnacentral:tRNA from 1 species
AUAAUUAAGGUCAAUGGGCCUGACUCAUAAUCCUUUGGUUCCAGGUUCGAAUCCUGGUGGGCCCACCA